rnacentral:rRNA from 1 species
CCUACGGGGGGCUGCAGUCGGGAAUUUUGCGCAAUGGGCGAAAGCCUGACGCAGCAACGCCGCGUGAGGGAUGAAGGCCUUCGGGUUGUAAACCUCUUUUGUCAGGGACGAUGAUGACGGUACCUGACGAAUAAGUCACGGCUAACUACGUGCCAGCAGCCGCGGUAAUACGUAGGUGACAAGCGUUGUCCGGAUUUACUGGGCGUAAAGAGCGCGCAGGCGGUCGUUCAAGUCGAGUGUGAAAGCCCCCGGCUCAACUGGGGAGGGUCACUCGAUACUGAUCGACUUGAAGGCAGGAGAGGGUAGUGGAAUUCCCGGUGUAGUGGUGAAAUGCGUAGAUAUCGGGAGGAACACCAGUGGCGAAGGCGACUACCUGGCCUGUUCUUGACGCUGAGGCGCGAAAGCUAGGGGAGCAAACGGGAUUAGAUACCCGGGUAGUC